GCCAAGGGGCAUACUAUGUUGAAUACACCACUUCUCGUCCGAUCACCGAAGUUAAGCAACAACGGGCGUGGUUUAGUACUUGGAUGGGUGACCGCCUGGGAACACUGCGUGCUUGUUGGCA
rnacentral:rRNA from 1 species